rnacentral:sRNA from 1 species
GAAAUCUUAGUAUAGUAGUCCUCUGGGAAGAAGUCAUUUCUGAAGCACUUUGAUGCGUUUCUACUUUCUAUCGAGACUAACUGUAGGGUUUAUA